AUUGAACGCUGGCGGCAGGCCUAACACAUGCAAGUCGAACGGUAACAGGAAACAGCUUGCUGUUUCGCUGACGAGUGGCGGACGGGUGAGUAAUGUCUGGGAAACUGCCUGAUGGAGGGGGAUAACUACUGGAAACGGUAGCUAAUACCGCAUAACGUCGCAAGACCAAAGAGGGGGGCCUUCGGGCCUCUUGCCAUCGGAUGUGCCCAGAUGGGAUUAGCUUGUUGGUGGGGUAACGGCUCACCAAGGCGACGAUCCCUAGCUGGUCUGAGAGGAUGACCAGCCACACUGGAACUGAGACACGGACCAGACUCCUACGGGAGGCAGCAGUGGGGAAUAUUGCACAAUGGGCGCAAGCCUGAUGCAGCCAUGCCGCGUGUAUGAAGAAGGCCUUCGGGUUGUAAAGUACUUUCAGCGGGGAGGAAGGGAGUAAAGUUAAUACCUUUACUCAUUGACGUUACCCGCAGAAGAAGCACCGGCUAACUCCGUGCCAGCCGCCGCGGUAA
rnacentral:rRNA from 1 species